GCCGGAUACUGUACUGCCCACUAAUUCCACUUUUGGACUAUCACUCCUGCAUUUGGAUCAAGAAGAAGAGAUAUUUUAUCGGAGUUUUUGCGUGGGUUACAGUAAAUUGAUAGUUAACUUGCAAUUAAUAGUGAGAGAGUGAAAUAUUCUUCCUUUGUAGAACCAGAGUAAUGGCAAUGUGUCAGAGAGAGCAAUCUCCAGUCCAAAGAACGAAGACCACCCAGUCUGUCCGAAACGUCUUUGGAGUAGGCAAGUGUCAAGAGUUGUGAUACUUCACACACAGGAACUAUUUUUAAAUCAAACAGAAGAUCAAAUCAGACUGCUUAUCUAUUAUUAGUAAAUCUACAAGAAUCAAAAGAGUUUCUUGGCUGACAAGGCAAAGAGCAUCUGACUGCAUACUCUGUUUUGCACACGUUUCCCAGCAAACUGUGAGAACCACUCUAGGAAAUGUAUUCUGGAAAUAUAUACCAGCAGGUCUUCACAAUAUUUACUGUCUUAAUAAAACAACACCUUUAUUGAAGUGACUGCUUCCAUUUGAAGUUUCACGUUUCUUCAUUAUUCAAGUAAUUCAAAGUCUACUCCAUUAUGUGAGCUUUCUCCCCUCUUCCAAUAAGACACCCUUACAAGUUAAAGCUUACCAGGCAAAACAGCUAUAUGAGACAAACCCACUCAUUUGAAUUAGCUGAUAAAGAAACUCAGAGGGAAACUGUUAGCACUGUUAUCAUCAACAGGCAUCAUCACCACCUUAAAAACCACCUUUCCUUCUAAGUUUUAAUCUAACUGCU